UAUGAAUUAUAUAACUAUUCCGAAACAUAUGAGUAUUUGGACCAUACGCGUAUGGUCGGGGUAAUUAACACUCUGUUACAGUUUACUUUUAAUACUUCUAAACUCUUCAUAUGGUAUGACCGUUCAUUAAAAAGACGCUAUCAUAUAGGUUAUUUUAUUAUUAUAUUAUAAUAAAAAGAUUAGCUAAAUAAAAAUUAGACGUUUC
rnacentral:lncRNA from 1 species